GUCCCAUUGGUUGCAAUGUUGAGUUUCUUGUUCGGUGCAGGCGAGUAAUUCGAGGAAAAGCGCGAGAUUGCUGAACAAGUACAAGGGUGCUAGGGUCCAUCUGAGCUUCUGGUUUAGCUGGAGGCUUCAGUUGGGACAACGAAGAGGAUGUCAAUUAUCUGCAAGUGGUUCUGAGCUCGGUGUUUGGAGCUAUUUGCACCCAUUAUGUUCGAG
rnacentral:misc_RNA from 1 species